UGGUAGUAGGUGCCUUUGAACAGGGUGUGGUAGUAGGUGCCUUUGAACAGGGUGUGGUAGUAGGUGCCUUUGAACAGGGUGUGGUAGUAGGUGCCUUUGAACAGGGUAUGGUAGUAGGUGCCUUUGAACAGGGUAUGGUAGUAGGUGCCUUUGAACAGGGUAUGGUAGUAGGUGCCUUUGAACAGGGUAUGGUAGUAGGUGCCUUUGAACAGGGUGUGGUAGUAGGUGCCUUUGAACAGGGUGUGGUAGUAGGUGCCUUUGAACAGGGUGUGGUAGUAGGUGCCUUUGAACCGGGUGUGGUAGUAGGUGCCUUUGAACCGGGUGUGGUAGUAGGUGCCUUUGAACAGGGUGUGGUAGUAGGUGCCUUUGAACCGGGUGUGGUAGUAGGUGCCUUUGAACAGGGUGUGGUAGUAGGUGCCUUUGAACAGGGUAUGGUAGUAGGUGCCUUUGAACAGGGUGUGGUAGUAGGUGCCUUUGA